rnacentral:rRNA from 1 species
UAGUGGUUUUUAGUCCAGAGAGAGACCCUGAGAAACGGAUACCACAUACAAGGAACGCCGCAGGCGCGCAAUUUACCCAAUCGCGAUGCGGGGAGGUAGUCACUAUAAAUUGAGAUACGGGUCUCUUUUGGGUCUUGUAAUUGGAAUGAGCACAAUUUAAAUCCCUUCGCGAGGCACAAUUGGAGCACAUCUCUGGUCCCCACAGCCGCUGUAAUUCCAGCUCCAAUAGCGUAUAUUAAAGUUGUCGCAGUUAAAAAUCUUGUAGUUGUUCCUUGGGUCUGGCUGGGCGGUGCCCCUCCGCGCGAGUACUGUCCGGCUGGACUUUUCCUUCUGGGGAACCUCAUGGCCUUCCCUGGCUGUGGGGGGAACCAGGACUUUUACUGUGAAAAAAUUAGAGUGUUCAAAGCAGGCCUUUGCUCGAAUACAUUAGCAUGGAAUAAUAAAAUAAGACGGGGGGUUCUAUUUUGUUGGUUUCUAGAACCGCCGUAAUGAUUAAUAGGGAUAGUCGGGGGCGUCAGUAUUCAGCUGUCAGAGGUGAAAUACUGGAUUAUGGACCCU